rnacentral:rRNA from 1 species
CAGUCGCCACGGGAAUACGGAGGGGGCUAGCGUUGUUCGGAAUUACUGGGCGUAAAGCGCACGUAGGCGGCUUGGUAAGUUAGAGGUGAAAGCCUGGAGCUCAACUCCAGAAUUGCCUUUAAGACUGCCGAGCUAGCAGGUGAGAGAGGUAAGUGGAAUUCCGAGUGUAGAGGUGAAAUUCGUAGAUAUUCGGAAGAACACCAGUGGCGAAGGCGGCUUACUGGCUCAUACUGGACGCUGAGGUGCGAAAGCGUGGGGAGCAAACAGGAUUAGAUACCCCAGUAGUCCCUGUCUCUUAUAC